rnacentral:rRNA from 1 species
GACAGAGGGUGCAAACGUUGCUCGGAAUCACUGGGCGUAAAGGGCGGUGUAGGCGGGAAGGAAAGUCAGAUGUGAAAUCCCCAGGCUCAACCUGGGAACCUGCAUUUGAAACUCCCUUCUUGAGUACCGGAGAGGAAAGUGGAAUUCCUGGUGUAGAGGUGAAAUUCGUAGAUAUCAGGAGGAACACCAGCGGCGAAGGCGGCAGCUCUGGGCUGGUACUGACGCUGAGGAGCGAAAGCGUGGGUAGCAAACAGG